rnacentral:rRNA from 1 species
UACGUAGGGUGCGAGCGUUAAUCGGAAUUACUGGGCGUAAAGCGUGCGCAGGCGGUUGUGCAAGACAGAUGUGAAAUCCCCGGGCUCAACCUGGGAACUGCCUUUGUGACUGCAUAGCUAGAGUACGGUAGAGGGGGAUGGAAUUCCGCGUGUAGCAGUGAAAUGCGUAGAUAUGCGGAGGAACACCGAUGGCGAAGGCAAUCCCCUGGACCUGUACUGACGCUCAUGCACGAAAGCGUGGGGAGCAAACAGG